rnacentral:misc_RNA from 1 species
AACGCACAUUGCGCUCUCUGGUAUUCCGGAGAGCAUGCUUGUUUGAGUAUCAGUAAAACACCUCAAGUCCGCUCUUCAUCUUUGAAGACGGAUUUGGACUUGAGCGAUCCCAACAGGAGGGCUUUCCUUCUGGCGGGUUGCUUGAAAUGCAGGUGCAGCUGGACUUUCUUCUGGGCUAUAAGCAUAUUUAUUUAGUCCCGUUAAACGGAUUAUUACUUUUUGCUGCAGCCAACGUAAAGGUUGAUUGUCCUCUUGCUGACUGAUGCAGGAAUCUUCGGGGGAUCGGCAACGAUUUCCCGUUAAACUCGAUCUCAAAUCAGGUAAGACUACCCGCUGAACUUAA